UCCUUCCUUUUUACCACCCUGAACGCGCGCAAUCUCUUCUGAUCUCAGAAGCUAAGCAGGGUCAGGCCUGGUUAGUCCUGGCAUGGGAGACC
rfam:Myotis lucifugus cont2.27994, whole genome shotgun sequence.